rnacentral:rRNA from 1 species
GCAAGUCGAGGGGUAACGGGGUGCUUGCAAUCCGCUGACGACCGGCGCACGGGUGCGUAACGCGUAUAGAACCUACCUUUUACAGGGGAAUAGCCCAGAGAAAUUUGGAUUAAUGCCCCAUAGUAUUGUUGAAUGGCAUCAUUUAAUAAUUAAACAUUUAUGGGUAAAAGAUGGCUAUGCGUUCUAUUAGCUAGAUGGUAAGGUAACGGCUUACCAUGGCAACGAUAGAUAGGGGUCCUGAGAGGGAGACC